rnacentral:rRNA from 1 species
AGAGUUUGAUCAUGGCUCAGGAUGAACGCUGGCGGCGUGCCUAACACAUGCAAGUCGAGCGAUCUUCUUCGGAAGAGAGCGGCGGACGGGUGAGUAACGCGUGGGUAACCUACCUCAUACACAUGGAUAACAUACCGAAAGGUAUACUAAUACAAGAUGAUAUAAGAGAUUCGCAUGGAUUUCUUAUCAAAGCUCCGGCGGUAUGAGAUGGACCCGCGUCUGAUUAGCUAGUUGGUAAGGUAACGGCUUACCAAGGCGACGAUCAGUAGCCGACCUGAGAGGGUGAUCGGCCACAUUGGAACUGAGACACGGUCCAAACUCCUACGGGAGGCAGCAGUGGGGAAUAUUACACAAUGGGCGAAAGCCUGAUGCAGCAACGCCGCGUGAGCGAUGAAGGCCUUCGGGUCGUAAAGCUCUGUCCUCAAGGAAGAUAAUGACGGUACUUGAGGAGGAAGCCCCGGCUAACUACGUGCCAGCAGCCGCGGUAAUACGUAGGGGGCUAGCGUUAUCCGGAUUUACUGGGCGUAAAGGGUGCGUAGGUGGUUUCUUAAGUCAGGAGCGAAAGGCUACGGCUCAACCGUAGUAAGCUCUUGAAACUGGGAAACUUGAGUGCAGGAGAGGAAAGUGGAAUUCCUAGUGUAGCGGUGAAAUGCGUAGAUAUUAGGAGGAACACCAGUAGCGAAGGCGGCUUUCUGGACUGUAACUGACACUGAGGCACGAAAGCGUGGGGAGCAAACAGGAUUAGAUACCCUGGUAGUCCACGCCGUAAACGAUGAGUACUAGGUGUCGGGGGUUACCCCCCUCGGUGCCGCAGCUAACGCAUUAAGUACUCCGCCUGGGGA